GGGAGGAGGGCCAGGAUGUUUGUGAUACGAUCACAUUGUGCCGCUAAAUCCUGGCACACACCAUAGGAGCUGUGACUAAGAGGCACCAUUUCAGUAACCCAGCACGUGUAACUCUGGAGCCUACCGAGUUGUGCUGAGCUGUGAAAUGAGAUACAUCUCGUUUACUGUGAAGUAGUCAUCCUCGCUGUCAACAGGGUGCCUCGGUUCUCUAGUCAGUUAGAGUUAGAACUAGGGUUAUGGACGAUCCAUAUCUUGAUCUCAAGAGUCAAGACCCACGAGGCUCAUUUCCAGGUGUUCAUGCCACCUUUUUCUUCUGACAUGGCCCCCAUCUCCCAGCACCUGUGUAGCCCAUCCCAG
ensembl:lncRNA